rnacentral:rRNA from 1 species
CCUUAGAGUUUGAUCCUGGCUCAGGAUCCUUGCUGGCGGCGCGCCUAACACAUGCAAGUCGAACGAGAGAGAGGGAGCUUGCUUCCUCAAUCGAGUGGCGAACGGGUGAGUAACGCGUGAGGAACCUGCCUCAAAGAGGGGGACAACAGUUGGAAACGACUGCUAAUACCGCAUAACGUAUCGGGAUGGCAUCUUCCUGAUACCAAAGAUUUUAUCGCUUAGAGAUGGGCUCGCGUCUGAUUAGAUAGUUGGCGGGGUAACGGCCCACCAAGGCAACGAUCGGUAGCCGGACUGAGAGGUUGAACGGCCACAUUGGGACUGAGACACGGCCCAGACUCCUACGGGAGGCAGCAGUGGGGAAUAUUGCACAAUGGGGGAAACCCUGAUGCAGCGACGCCGCGUGGAGGAAGAAGGUCUUCGGAUUGUAAACUCCUGUUGUUGAGGAAGAUAAUGACGGUACUCAACAAGGAAGUGACGGCUAACUACGUGCCAGCAGCCGCGGUAAAACGUAGGUCACAAGCGUUGUCCGGAAUUACUGGGUGUAAAGGGAGCGCAGGCGGGAAGACAAGUUGGAAGUGAAAUCUAUGGGCUCAACCCAUAAACUGCUUUCAAAACUGUUUUUCUUGAGUAGUGCAGAGGUAGGCGGAAUUCCCGGUGUAGCGGUGGAAUGCGUAGAUAUCGGGAGGAACACCAGUGGCGAAGGCGGCCUACUGGGCACCAACUGACGCUGAGGCUCGAAAGUGUGGGUAGCAAACAGGAAGAGAUACCCUGGUAGUCCACACCGUAAACGAUGAUCACAAGGGGUUGGAGGAUUGACCCCUUCA